AUGUCCCCAGGAUGGGCGGGAGGACCCACUGAGUUUAAGCACAUCAAUAAGUGGAGGAGAAGAUACUUACUAGGAUUCCCAUAGUAACGGCGAGUGAACCGUAACUCCCCAGCAUGGAAAUCGGGCUGCAAUGUAGGCCGAAUUGUAGUCUGGAGAAGCAUCCCCCACGACAGAAUGGGCCCAAGUCUCCUAGAAAGGCGCCAGGGUGAGUUAGAGCCCCAUUCGUCCUGAACCCUGUCGCAACACGGGGUGCUGUCACCGAGUCGGUUUGCUUGGGAAUGCAACCCCAAUUGGGCGAUAAAUUCUGUCCAAGGCUAAAUAUGUGCGAGAGACCGAUAGCGAACAAGUACCGCGAGGGAAAGAUGAAAAGAACAUUGAAAAGAGAGUCAAAGAGUGCUUGAAAUUGUCGGGAGGGAAGCAGAUGGAGGCUGGCGUUGCAUCUCAGCCUGAAGUGGGGAGGCUUAAUGCUUCUCCGUUGCUUGGCUCGAGGUGUGGAUCAUUGCAGGCCUUACUGAUGGCUACAUCCCGGGCGAAAGAUGCUCGAGGAGACACAAUCAGUACCGCCAAUGAAGCAU
rnacentral:rRNA from 1 species